rnacentral:rRNA from 1 species
UACGGGGGGGGCAAGCGUUGUUCGGAUUUACUGGGCGUAAAGGGCGCGUAGGCGGCGCAACAAGUCACUUGUGAAAUCUCCGGGCUUAACUCGGAACGGUCAACUGAUACUGUGCGACUAGAGUGCGGAAGGGGCAACUGGAAUUCUCGGUGUAGCGGUGAAAUGCGUAGAUAUCGAGAGGAACACCUGCGGCGAAGGCGGGUUGCUGGGCCGACACUGACGCUGAGGCGCGAAAGCCAGGGGAGCGAACGGG